AUUGAACACUGGCGGCAGGCCUAACACAUGCAAGUCGAGCGGAUGAAGGGAGCUUGCUCCUGGAUUCAGCGGCGGACGGGUGAGUAAUGCCUAGGAAUCUGCCUGGUAGUGGGGGAUAACGUCCGGAAACGGGCGCUAAUACCGCAUACGUCCUGAGGGAGAAAGUGGGGGACCUUCGAACUCACGGCAUCAGGAGAGCCUAGGUCGGAUUAGCUAGUUGGUGGGGUAAAGGCCUACCAAGGCGACGAUCCGUAACUGGUCUGAGAGGAUGAUCAGUCACACUGGAACUGAGACACGGUCCAGACUCCUACGGGAGGCAGCAGUGGGGAAUAUUGGACAAUGGGCGAAAGCCUGAUCCAGCCAUGCCGCGUGUGUGAAGAAGGUCUUCGGAUUGUAAAGCACUUUAAGUUGGGAGGAAGGGCAGUAAGUUAAUACCUUGCUGUUUUGACGUUACCAACAGAAUAAGCACCGGCUAACUUCGUG
rnacentral:rRNA from 1 species